AGCAAGUCCUCAUUCUCUUUGCCAGGCUUUACGUAUAUCAGACACCCUGUCAAUUGAAUUAGGCUAAGAUGAGUCCAAACGAUACUUCAAACUAUUCUCUAAGACACCUGAAAACAACAAAUGAGCAUUUCUGGGAAAUGCUAGAAAUGAAUAGAAACCCAGAGAUCUCCUCUUCUCAUCACUGGGAUGGUCUUUAUCUAGACUCUGCCCACAAUGUUGAUGGGGAUGAGGAAAACAUCUACGUGAGGGUGGCCUGUGUCCUCGCUCCUGUUACCCCCUGCCUGAAUUACGUGGUGUUCAUGAAAGCCUGGAAUAGGGACAAAUGCUGUCUCACAGAUAACUUCAAUUCUACCAGAGAAGAAAAUAUAAUUGGAGAGUCCAGUGUUCUGUGUAACUUAUUUAGCAAUUUCUACUCUGAUUCUGCUGAUGCCCUGCACUGCAAGUGCCUCUAUCAAGUUUACUAUUUGAGUUUAUCGAUGACCUUCUCUAAUAGCAUAAAAUCAUGUGUAGCAUCAUCUUUGAAUGAUGGUCUCAUUUAUGGUGAUGGAGGAAGGAACAAUAAAUAUGUGAUGAUGGAAUCUGCUGUCAUCUCCCAGGAGCUGCUCCACAAUGGAAUGUAG
rnacentral:lncRNA from 1 species